UACAAAAUAUUUUCCACGUUCGUUUACAAACUUAAAGAUUCCACUUGGAUUCUCCAUUGUUGACAUUGCAUUAACACAAGCUAUCUAUCUAUCUAUCUAUCUAUCUAUCUAUCUAUCUAUCUAUCUAUCUAUCUAUCUAUCUAUCUAUCUAUCUAUCUAUCUAUCUAUCUAUCUAUCUAUCUAUCUAUCUAUCUAUCUAUCCGUCAUGUGACUCAUGUGUAAGGUAUGCCUCGUAAGCCCCAUCCGCACUGCGCUGACGCAAGAGACGGGACUCCCUUACCAACUCGUCAUGACACUAGCAACCGGCUUACAGCGGAGUCCAUCAAACAAGCCUUCUGCGAUUAUCAUAACUAACUUGAGUGCUUUCAUUAAAAUUAGACGUAUGUUUGUGUCACAAGCGCAAACUGUGAAAUAUUUAUUUUUACUCGCCGAGCCGUCCCAUGACAAAUAACGAUACUAGUCUGCAAAUCGAACUGUCCAAUGAAAUGUGAGGAUGAUUGUCUGAUUGACCAAUCAGAAUUCGUUUUACUCGUGCGUCUCCCCGUUCCAGCAUUACUUAACCGACUGUCUCUGCUGCAACAUAUUAACUGCAAAAACAUCAGCUUUAAAGAUGUUUCUGUGGAUCUGCCGCGUUGGGGAAAACACAAACAUUACCUUUUCGUUCAUCUAGCGUCAGGCACCUCUUGCAAUUAUGGAGGCUUAAACAGAGGAGCGUUUUUGGUGGAAGGAGCCUUUCCCCUCAAAGUUGAUGGACUCUUGAAAGGACAGGCUUCGCCUUCACACCCUAGUUCGGGGUGCCGUCUGCAGGGCUUCCUGUCUGUCCACUGUCACAAUGCAUCCUCCCUGCGGGACGAGUUUGGACACACGGCUCUGCACCUCGUGGCCUCUCUGGGAAGUGUGACCUGCUUCAGUGGCUCCUGGACAACAAACAUGCAGACAUGCUGGCGAAGGACAAGGAGUCUGGGUGGACCACACUGCAUCGCAGCGCUUUAUAUGGACAAAUCACUGCCUCAUGGGGCUCACCGAGGUGGUGUUGUGUAAGUACCACUCGGUCUUCCUGUCCCAGGAAGUACGUCUACACCUCUGGGCUCAACGCUCACCAUCAGCUGGGACUGGCACCUCUACUCCAAUUUAUUGCUGAAGUCUUGUGUUCUGUAAUAACUUGGUUUCAUGACAUACAUUAAAUACAUUAAAUACAUGUUUACAUGUUGUUCUGUAGUUUAACCUUGCUGUGAAUGAUUACAGCAAUCCAAUACUGUUUCUUCCAAAACCGAACAUUGCUUUUUUGACGAAUAUUUUUUGUUUGCAGAAAGUUUGAGGCAUCUGUACCUUGAACUGUAGGUAAUCUCAGUUUUUGUGUUAAUUUCAAUUGACCACAGGUCACCUCUAAGUCCCUGUAAGGGGGGUCGGUGAUUGGUGUAGCAGAUGGCAGGUUCCACACUGUUCUUUGGACUCGAGAUGCAGUGUAUACCGUAGGAUUGAAUGGUGGCUAGCUUGGUAAGCUGCUCAAGCACCCAGAUCUGUUUAUCACAUACAAACUAACAGGUUGUUUAACUGAUCUAAAGUCUCUCAGGUGUUUUGCAAAUCCUCUUCAUGCAAUUUCAUCAGAGCGUCUGCUUCAUUUGCCUCUUCCCAUAUGAAAACUUGUGGUCCAACCAUUGUGAUACAUUCAGGUUACCUGCUGGAGCCCGAUGGAGAGAAGUGCGUGACGGUUCCUCGACAGGUGUCCGCUCUGCACCACGGAAUGUGACCAUCACUCUGUGCGUGACCGAAAAGGGAGAUAUUUACCUGCUGACAGCAGCUAGACCUGAAGAAAGUUCUGUUGAGUGGUGGUAGUUUGGAUCAUCGUAUUGAUACUCCGCUCCUGCAUGAUGGUGGAGGAGAGAAGCUGGUGAUUUUGGCUCUAGAUGAAGCUGGAAGGCACUUCCUGCGCCUCCUGACCGAAGCCGAUGAGACGGACAGCAUCCAUGACGUGAGACAAAUACAUCCUGUCACGCGGUCGGACUUCUUCUGUAAAGCGCUCCUCCUGGAGGACUGCUAAGAGGGUGUGGAAGAUGGAGAGGUGAAGAAAGGAGAAGGGGCGGUGGGCUGUGAUCUGCUGGUCCUGGAGAAGGUUCCUCCUGAGAUGCUGGAGAAAGAGCUUCACUUCAUCUAUACAGACUCCUGUGAGAUGCUGGUUCACGGGACCCGGCCCAUCAUCCCCCGCUCUGAUCCUGAACCACAGUCUGCAGACUCUAGGGCUGGAGAACCGCUCCGCUCUGGACGUGUACAGCUCUCUUCCUGCUAAGACUCCUGAGGAUGCAGACAAGCCCAAAACCAGUAAUGACAGUGAACCUGGACAAGACCCAGUGAAGAUGCUGCAGGGUGUCGCCUAAAAACUGGGCUUGGGGAGAUGCUCUCUGAAUGAACCCUCCGCCCCUGAGAGUUUGUUUGUUAUGUUGAAGAAGUAGUUGAAGAAAAAUAGAAAAUUAGCUGAACAUGUCCUCACCCUCGAGCCAUCCAAAAUGUAGAUGAGUUUGUUUCUUAAUAGGAAUGGAUUUGGAAAUCGUUGCAUCACUUGCUCACCAGUAGAUGCUCUGCAGUGAAUGGGUGCCGCCAGAAUUAAACAGCUGAUAAAAACAUCACAAUAAUCCACAGCAGUCCAUCAGUUAAUGUCUGGAGAAGAAAAAAUAUGUGUCCAUAUAAUAACGCUGUCUUCAGUAAAAAGGCUGGUUUUACUGAAUCAGGAGGGAAAUAUUCAUUCAUAUUCACUGAUGAAGCACUGAAUAUACAUCUUUGCUCCAUUUUUUAUUGGACAGGCAAAUCAUGGCGCCCCAGUUUAUUAAUGAAUAGACUACUGUUAAAAAGUUUAAGGGUAAAAACUAAAGACAAACAUUUUCAUUAUUUGAAAUUAAACACUAACUGAAUAUAUAACCCAAACUUGAUUUAUUUCUGCUAAAUGCCAAGGCAAAUUUUCUUAGUUAAAUCUAGCUUAAUAUCUAUAGACAUAAAUCUAGUGCUGUCAAACGAUUAAUCACAUCCAAAAUAAAAGUUUUUCUUUACAUAAUAUAUUAUGUAAAUUAUUUUAAAAUGAAAUAUUUCAUGUUUUUGCAGUUUCUACUGUAUUUUUUAAAGCAGCUUUGGUGACAUUUCAGUUCAAAAACACCUUUGGUAUUGUAUACCUCUCUACCCUGACUAAACUCAACUAUUAUAAAUAGAGAUAAUUACCGAUUCUCAGAGGGAUUUUGCCCAUCUGUGGGCACUUCAUUAACUUAAGUGAUAGUUGCAAAUGACUAGAAAACGUAAAACUCAGACUUUUUUCUUUUCUUUGUGAGACUGAAACUAAAGUUUCUUGCUAAAAAUCCUUAAUUCUUAUGGUCCUUUAGAGCUUGACCGUCCCUAUUUAUCUUCAUUUAGCAUCUAAGGCAUUCUUUGUGCGUGUUUCACGUAAGAAACAAAGUGUGCAUUAUCUUAUCUUCAUAUACAUGGUGUGUGUUGAAAUGACACGAGCUGUCUCUCUGAACUGGAAGUGUUGUGUUGAUGUGAAUGUCUUCUGAUUAUUAUCAAUGUUGAAACAGUUCUGCUGCACAAUAUGAAUUUGAUUUCAGGAUUUGAGUAGAAAGUUCAAAAUGAAAGCAUUUUUAUUUGAAAUAUAAUUUUUUUAUCAUUAUUAAUGUCUUUACUGUCACUGUAGAUCAAUUUAUGCAACCUUGUUGAAAAAAAAAAAAAAAAAAAAAACCUUUCUGACCCUAAACUUUUGAAGAGUAGUAUAUUACACACACUGUUUGACAUAUUCCAAGACGACUGCAACUUGAUAUUUUGAAUAGUAUGGAAAAGUAAUAAUAAUUGAACUUUUAUCUUUCACUUCACUUAUUGUUAUUAUUCCAUUGCAUAUAAUAUAACAUGCAUAGUCCAUAAUGUGGCAGUGUAAACCAGACGUCCAGAUGAGCUGAUUUUGUCCAUGUGCUGUGUGCAGUGACGCUGAAGAACGCUGCAGAGUUGCUGGAGUUUUUUCAAGUUAUUCCAGACCUGUUUGAGUUGACUGUAGCCAGUUCACUUUCAUAGUCUUUUUUAUACUGUGAAAGUCAGUGGCUAUACUCAGCUGUCUGGUCACCAACAUUCCUCAAAAUCUGUGUUCAGUAAUGAUAUGUUAUAUAUAUAAAUAUAUUUUUUAUAUAAAAGCACGAAAGAUAAAUUGUGCUGUUCCUCAUGAGGCUUUCUUUGCAUGUUCUGAGACUGAGCAGAACACAGAUAUGUGAAGUCAACUUUUACUAAACCUAAACUGUCAAGUGCAUGCCAAAAUGUGUCAAAAUGCAGUGAUUAUUCUCAUAAACCAUUGUUGGUUCUGUAAUUGACCGUAAACAAUUGAAAAUGAAAAUACGUGCAUAACCGUGAAUUAGAACCAUGCAGCUCUUAAAGUGACAGCAGCCUAAUAGUCCUGCUGCUGACUGUCUGCUUAAUAUCAAUCCAACGUAAGACGGAGAGAAAAUCACUCACUGCUCUUGACUGAAGGACUUUUGUAGCUUUAAUAAGAAACAAGGGAAGACUAUGCUGUUUUAUGUUAGGCUACAUUCAGUUAUUACAUUUCUGUAAUAGUUUAUUGAAUACUUUAGACUUGAAAUAAAAACUUAAAGCGCUUUUUCGU